CAGAGCGUAGCUAAGACAAAAGCAUCUCCCUUACACUGAGAAGUCACCUGUGCAAACCAGGUCGCCCUGA
rnacentral:tRNA from 1 species